CCGAGUUUACAACUCCCAAACCCCCUGUGAACUUAUACCAUUUACUGUUGCUUCGGCGGGCGCCUGUUUCCGGGGAACUCAAACUCUUCUGUAUUUCUUUAUCUAAUAUAUACUGUCUGAGUAAAAACUAAAAUGAAUCA
rnacentral:misc_RNA from 1 species